rnacentral:rRNA from 1 species
ACACGACUACAUUAGAUACCCGGGUAGUCCCAGCCCUAAACGAUGCGCGUUAGGUGUAUCGGUGACCACGAGUCACCGAGGUGCCGAAGGGAAACCGUGAAACGUGCCGCCUGGGAAGUACGGUCGCAAGGCUGAAACUUAGAGGAAUUGGCGGGGAGCACCACAACGGGUGGAGCCUGCGGUUUAAUUGGACUCAACGCCGGGAAGCUCACCGGAUAAGACAGCGGAAUGAUUGCCGGGCUGAAGACUCUGCAUGACUAGCUG